AUGUGUCAGUACAGGCCGCUCUAAGGCGAAACCGCGAAUGGCUCAUUAAAUCAGUUAUCAUUCAUUUGAUCCAAACCUACUACUCGGAUAACCCUGGUAAUUCUAGAGCUAAUACGUGACCUUUAAACUCCGACUGGAAGGGAGGAGUGCUUUUAUUAGUUGAAAACCAAGCGGGCCUCGGUCCGUUCACUUUACUGUGAUGACUCUGAAUAACUUUGUGCAGAGAGCACGGUCUCCGCACCGGCUCCGUAUCUUUCGAGUUUCUGCCUUAUCAUGCUGUGGAUUGUAGGCCAUGCGCCUACAGUGGCUGUUACGGGUGACGGAGAAUCAGGGUUCGAUUCCGGAGAGGGAGCCUGAGAAACGGCUACCACAUCCAAGGAAGGCAGCAGGCACGCAAAUUACCCAAUCCCAGCUCUGGGAGGUAGUGACGAAAAAUAACAAUGCGGGACUCUUCCGAGUCUGCGUAAUUGGAAUGAGCACACUUUAAAUCCUUUAGCAACAACCAAUUGGAGGGCAAGUCUGGUGCCAGCAGCCGCGGUAAUUCCAGCUCCAAUAGCGUAUAUUAAAGUUGUUGCGGUUAAAAAGCUCGUAGUUCGAGCUCAGUUCCGGACUGGCCGGGGAGGUCACCGCCCGGUGCUUCCCCGUCAGGCUCCGAACAGCUUCCGUGAGUGGAAGCCAAGCCGGUUCUGCCGGGGUGCUCUUUACCGAGUGUCCCGCGCGGCCGGCCAGUUCACCUUGAAUAAAUGAGAGUGCUCAAAGCAGGCUACUCUCGAAUACAAUGCCCGAAUGUUACCUGCAUGGAAUGAUGGAAGAUGAUCUCGGUUCCAUUUUCUUGGUGGUGGGAGCCAGAGGUAAUGAUAAACAGGGACUGUCGGGGGCAUCCGUACUACGACGCGAGAGGUGAAAUUCAGUGACCGUCGUAGGACGAACAACAGCGAAAGCAUUUGCCAAGAAUGUCUUCGUUGAUCAAGAACGAAAGUUAGAGGAUCGAAGGCGAUCAGAUACCGCCCUAGUUCUAACCCUAAACGAUGCUGACUAGCAAUUCGCCGUCGUUAUUCCCAUGACGUGGCGAGACGCCCCCGGGAAACCUCAAGUCUUUGAGUUCCGGGGGUAGUAUGGUUGCAAAACUGAAACUUAAAGGAAUUGACGGAAGGGCACCACCAGGAGUGGAGCCUGCGGCUUAAUUUGACUCAACACGGGAAACCUCACCAGGCCCGGACACCAGAAGGAUUGACAGAUUAAGAGCUCUUUCUCGAUUUGGUGGGUGGUGGUGCAUG
rnacentral:rRNA from 1 species